UACAACUUAGGGAGAGGCACGAGAUGGUACCUCCCCUUUAAAGAGGGGAGAUGGAAGAAACCAUCAACCCUUUAGUUAAAGAACAUAACAAAGGAAAAAGAAAAUUACAAUGAUGA